AUUGAACGCUGGCGGCAGGCCUAACACAUGCAAGUCGAGCGGAUGAAGGGAGCUUGCUCCUGGAUUCAGCGGCGGACGGGUGAGUAAUUCCUAGGAAUCUGCCUGGUCGUGGGAUAACGUCCGGCAACGGGCGCUAAUACCGCAUACGUCCUGAGGGUGAAAGUGGGGGAUCUUCGGACUUCACGCUAUCCUAUGAGCCUAGGUCGGAUUAGCUAGUUGGUGGGGUAAAGGCCUACCAAGGCGACGAUCCGUAACUGGUCUGAGAGGAUGAUCAGUCACACUGGAACUGAGACACGGUCCAGACUCCUACGGGAGGCAGCAGUGGGGAAUAUUGGACAAUGGGCGAAAGCCUGAUCCAGCCAUGCCGCGUGUGUGAAGAAGGUCUUCGGAUUGUAAAGCACUUUAAGUUGGGAGGAAGGGCAGUAAGUUAAUACCUUGCUGUUUUGACGUUACCAACAGAAUAAGCACCGGCUAACUUCGUG
rnacentral:rRNA from 1 species